GCCAGUGUGGCAUAGUGGUUUGAACAUUGGACUAUGACUCUGGAGACCAGGGUUCAAUUCCCAGCUCAGCCA